rnacentral:rRNA from 1 species
CAUAUCAAUAAGCGGAGGAAAAGAAACUAACAAGGAUUCCCCUAGUAACUGCGAGUGAAGCGGGAAAAGCUCAAAUUUAAAAUCUGGCGGUCUUUUGGCCGUCCGAGUUGUAGUCUGGAGAAGUGCUUUCCGCGCUGGACCGUGUAUAAGUCUCUUGGAACAGAGCGUCAUAGAGGGUGAGAAUCCCGUCUUUGACACGGACUACCAGUGCUUUGUGAUGCGCUCUCAAAGAGUCGAGUUGUUUGGGAAUGCAGCUCAAAAUGGGUGGUAAAUUCCAUCUAAAGCUAAAUAUUGGCGAGAGACCGAUAGCGAACAAGUACCGUGAGGGAAAGAUGAAAAGCACUUUGGAAAGAGAGUUAAACAGUACGUGAAAUUGCUGAAAGGGAAACGCUUGAAGUCAGUCGCGUCUGCCGGAACUCAGCCUUGCUUUCGCUUGGUGCACUUUCCGGUUGACGGGCCAGCAUCGAUUUUGACCGACGGAAAAGGGCUAGGGAAAUGUGGCACCCUCGGGUGUGUUAUAGUCUCUAGUCGCAUACGCCGGUUGGGAUCGAGGAUCGCAGCGCGCCGCAAGGCAGGGGUUCGCCCACUUUCGCGCUUAGGAUGCUGGCAUAAUGGCUUUAAACGACCCGUCUUGAAACACGGACCAAGGAGUCUAACAUGCCUGCGAGUGUUUGGGUGGAAAACCCGAGCGCGUAAUGAAAGUGAAAGUUGAGACCUCUGUCGUGGAGGGCAUCGACGCCCGGACCUGACGUUCUCUGACGGAUCCGCGGUAGAGCAUGUAUGUUGGGACCCGAAAGAUGGUGAACUAUGCCUGAAUAGGGUGAAGCCAGAGGAAACUCUGGUGGAGGCUCGUAGCGAUUCUGACGUGCAAAUCGAUCGUCAAAUUUGGGUAUAGGGGCGAAAGACUAAUCGAACCAUCUAGUAGCUGGUUCCUGC